UGUUCUGUUAUCGAUUCUAAGUAUCCCCAGCCAACUUUUUUUCAAAUAUCUUCCAUGUACAGACUUUCGACCCUCUUCAGCUUUAUUAUAUGUAUAGAUAGAUAGUCAGUCUAAAAACACCCAUUACUCAGGAACAAAUAUCCAUGC